rnacentral:tRNA from 1 species
ACCUCUUUAGCUUAAGUAAAUUGUAGAGUAUUAGGUUCUUACCCUAAUGGUAAAAUAUUUUUAGGAGGUU